AGUUUCCCAUCUUAAAUGGCAAGUGGACUUGGGAAGCCCUAUAUCUGCCUGAGAAACCACUGACAGAAGCUUGAGACUCAACUCUGGGUUUGCGAUAUGUUGCUUUUUAUUCCCCGAGACUGCUCAAUACUGGCAUGCAUUUUGAUGGAGAGGAGAAAAUGGAACUGAGGCUCUCCUGCAAGUCCCAUGGAUCCACAUGCGCUAUGCUGACGUGCAGCAACCACCACACCCAGAAUUGUUUCCUGAGGUCCUGGAGUUCCGUCUCAGCCCUCACCUUGCACAACAGUUGACUUGAUUGGCCUCUGCCCCAGCUCCAACAAUUUCCAGGAUUGUUGAGGUGGCUCACACAGGCGGGCCUCAGGCUGCUCUUCUUUGGAAUGCCUGAAGAAUGCUGUGCCCAAGCUGGGACUGACCACAGCUGUAGUUCCUGAUACCACAUAUUACCCGUGGCUCCUAUAUCAUGCAUCUUCACAGUAUGGAUGGUCACUCAGAACUUAUGAAGACUUCAAGUGGAUGGCUUGUGGCUAAGAACAACCCCUGUGCGCAGUUCAUUGAAUUUAUAUAACAUUACUCAAAUUCCAGUAAGAUUUUUUC
rnacentral:lncRNA from 1 species